CCAGAGGCCAGAGUCUGGCAAUCUGCCCCACAGCCCCAGGCAAACCUACUGUUUCAGCAGACACUGGCUUAGAGUUAAGUGCCUGGAUCAAAACUCCCUCCUUAUUCCCAUCAUGUCGAUGGCUUACUGCUUCUCUACCACAGCAAAUCAUGAAACAACCUGAGCCUACCUACUGCAUAUGACAGGUUGCCAAUGAAAUCCAGUUUAAGGGAGGAUAAAAAUGAUUGCUCCAAGUGUUAUGACAGGAAUGGUUCCCAUGCUGUAUUAGAGGAAAACAGCUGCUGGCAUUUCCUAAACACAAAUUUCUUUGGGGAGAACAACAAAUCAUAAGCCAGAGGUUUCUGCAGGGGAUUUCUGACUGGAAAACUGUGUUUAUUAAUUAUAUGUAAAUUUCAUAAUGUUUUGAUGUCUUGAUCUAGCAAUCUGUAGAACUCACACUGAAAAAUCAAAUGUGAGAAAGGCUUAAUUUGGGAG
rnacentral:lncRNA from 1 species